GGUUCGGAUUAUGGCUCAGAUUGAACGCUGGCGGGAUGCUUUACACAUGCAAGUCGAACGGCAGCACGGACUUCGGUCUGGUGGCGAGUGGCGAACGGGUGAGUAAUGUAUCGGAACGUGCCUAGUAGCGGGGGAUAACUACGCGAAAGCGUAGCCAAUAAUGCAGGCAUACCCUUCGGGGGAAAGCGGGGGACCUUCGGGCCUCGCACUAGAGCGGCCGAUAUCGGAUUAGCUAGUUGGUGGGGUAACGGCUCACCAAGGCGACGAUCCGUAGCUGGUUUGAGGACGACCAGCCACACUGGGACUGAGACACGGCCCAGACUCCUACGGGAGGCAGCAGUGGGGAAUUUUGGACAAUGGGGAAACCCUGAUCCAGCCAUCCCGCGUGUGCGAUGAAGGCCUUCGGGUUGUAAAGCACUUUUUUUGGCAGGAAAGAAACGGCACGGAUAAUACCCCGUGCAACUGACGGUACCUGCAGAAUAAGCACCGCUAACUACGUGCCAGCAGCCGCGGUAAUACGUAGGGUGCAAGCGUUAAUCGGAAUUACUGGGCGUAAAGCGUGCGCAGGCGGCUCGGAAAGAAAGAUGUGAAAUCCCAGAGCUUAACUUUGAACUGCAUUUUUAACUACCGAGCUAGAGUGUGUCAGAGGGAGGUGGAAUUCCGCGUGUAGCAGUGAAAUGCGUAGAUAUGCGGAGGAACACCGAUGGCGAAGGCAGCCUCCUGGGAUAACACUGACGCUCAUGCACGAAAGCGUGGGGAGCAAACAGGAUUAGAUACCCUGGUAGUCCACGCCCUAAACGAUGUCAACUAGCUGUUGGGGCCUUCGGGCCUUGGUAGCGCAGCUAACGCGUGAAGUUGACCGCCUGGGGAGUACGGUCGCAAGAUUAAAACUCAAAGGAAUUGACGGGACUCCCGCACAAGCGGUGGAUGAUGUGGAUUAAUUCGAUGCAACGCGAAAAACCUUACCUACCCUUGACAUGUCUGGAAUCCCGAAGAGAUUUGGGAGUGUUCGCAAGAGAACCGGAACACAGGUGCUGCAUGGCUGUCGUCAUUCGUGUCGUGAGAUGUUGGGUUAAGUCCCGCAACGAGCGCAACCCUUGUCAUUAGUUGCUACGAAAGGGCACUCUAAUGAGACUGCCGGUGACAAACCGGAGGAAGGUGGAUGACGUCAAGUCCUCAUGGCUCCCAUAUGGGUAGGGCUUCACACGUCAUACAAUGGUCGGGACAGAGGGUCGCCAACCCGCGAGGGGGAGCCAAUCCCAGAAACCCGAUCGUAGUCCGGAUCGCAGUCUGCAACUCGACUGCGUGGUCGGAAUCGCUAGUAAUCGCGGAUCAGCAUGUCGCGGUGAAUACGUUCCCGGUCUUGUACACACCGCCCGUCACACCAUGGGAGUGGGUUUUACCAGAAGUAGUUAGCCUAACCGCAAGGGAGGGCGAUUACCACGGUAGGAUUCAUGACUGGGGUGAAGUCGUAACAAGGUAA
rnacentral:rRNA from 1 species